rnacentral:lncRNA from 1 species
GGCGGUUCCUUGGGAUGCGCUGGGCGCUGAGGGCCGCGGUGACCCUCGUGCUGGGCGCAGCGCAACGGGGACCUGUCCUUCCCCUACCCAACCGCCCUGUUGGUAGCUGAGGGAAUCCUGCCCCCGCGGCGUCUGGCCGGAGAGGGUAGGGGAAGAGGCAAGUAGGAAGGCGGCUUGCUGUAACCCUCGGGUGCGGCUGUAGCGGGAGGCGUUUACCAUUCUGAGGAGCAUCCAUUUGAAAGCCCUCUGAGAUGAAAACUCUUGGUGAAUAUUUUGCAUAAACAGCCACGUGGAGAUGCAAGAGUGCAAAACAGAGUAACUGAAAGCUAUUGGAGGUUAGUUCACCACUGGAGACUACCAAAAGUCCUUUCUUUUAUCCACCCCCCUACCUCUGUGCAGCCUCACUUAACCUCACACCUCAGGUGAGGGGGAAAUCAGAGAAGGACCAGCAGCUUGCCAGUGCUGGUAGCCUCAUUGCCAGUUUCUUCAUCCAUUUUAAAGCUACAGAUAAUCUGACACUACUCAGAAUAUCUAAGCCUUAAACAUUAACCGUCAGAAGACUUUCUCUAUUUAUCCAUUCUGAUACGUGGCACAAACAAGUUGUUUUUUCCGACGAUAUCCAGCUGUGACAUC